GCCUGCUUCAGAGGAGCUCCUU
rnacentral:miRNA from 1 species